GGUCACAGUGCUGGUUAGACUUGGGAUUCCCAUUACAUCUAGGCCCUGUUUGGGUCUUGACAAGUUGGUAUCAGAGCUUUAGUUUCAUGGUAAACUGGGAAGUCCACAAAACUAUGCCGAGUAGAGUCUCUUUUAGGGGUGUGUAGCACGCCAAACUCAUAAGAGAGAGGCUUUCAUACAUUUAGGAAUGUUUUACUUUCUUUAAAUUCUUAGUGCUGGAAUCCUCUAUACUCCUUAG
rnacentral:lncRNA from 1 species